rnacentral:lncRNA from 1 species
UACCAAGAGCCUUCUCAUUCCCAUUUUCAACCAUGUACAAUUGAAGAGAUAUUAGAGAGCUAAAAACAUAUUAACACAGGCCAAGUUCGUCGAACUUUCACGUUAUUUACCUUGGUCAGUGAUAAGCAGGUUUUUAGGUUUCGUUCCUUAUGUAAGAUAACCCUUUCUUUCUUUGUAAUCACAUGUUUAGGUUGGCUUGUCUGGUACAGUCAUGUUAACAGGAAGACAGAAGAGAGACUGCCAUAGAAGAUGUUAUCCAGCACUCGAUUAUUCGGCGCUUCAGUUAUCCUGCAGACAUUUUAAGAAAUUUAUUGACAGCAGAAAAUUUGUAAGAAGUACAGACAUCCGCCUUACAAAGAUACUGCUGGACAAUAGACUCAAGCCUCUGAUAUGAAAAGUUCGAAUACAGGGUGCAGGAUAGACUUUAAAAAAAUAUACAAAAAAAUGUUAAAACAAGACAACUAGAUUCAACAACGCAGAAUACAGGAUGCAACCUGCAGGUUUGCUUUGCCGAUUCUUGAAUCACGAGGUAAUUCCAAGAUUAAGUACGAGAGUUUGCAGUUUGCAAUUGCUUUCCUUGACUGAAUGUUAUGUACACGAGUUCAGAGCUUGCUCAGUUUCCUGCUGGAUCAGAGGAGAAAUAACAUAAAUUAGCACAUCAAGGAUUAAUAACUUGGUGGCUUAGAAAUCUUUUAAAUUUGAUUAGUACCAAAAAAUACAAGACACCAGUUGAGAAUCAUGUUUACAUGAUUUGAUCUUGUAAAACAGGGAAAGUUGUUUGACCUGUCGAAACAUCAAUUGUUUGCGUCUAAUUUUAACAGUGUUAUUUCCCUUGGAGAAAAAGUGUAAAUCAUCCACCACAUUAUUGCAUAUCAUGGUUUUAUCUACCUUCAUUUCAUAAUUGAUUAGUAAAAAUUAGGAGAAAAGUGUUUCGAGGAAAAAAGACAAGCACUUGUGUCAAAUUUACUUCAUGCUUUUCUGAACUGAAAUUAGUUUCCAAUGUGUGCUGUGUGUUACCUGAAGGUCUACCUGCAGCAUGAUAGUUGAAAUUCAUGCGUUUUCCUGGUAGAGAAGCCAAGUCUAAUGUGAAAUGGAACUAUGUGAUUAGUCGGCUGAAUCGUUUGAGUGACAGGAGAAGCUGCUCAUCAGGAUAAAUGAUCUAGCUAAAGGCUCCUCCCUGGCUGAUAACCAGCCGAUUACUUGGCCCGAUAAACGGCUACUUCUGUUGCCUAAACAAUGUAGACGACCAAUCAUAUUGCUCCAUUUCACCUCAGUCUUGUCUAGUCUACAAGGCAAACACAAAAUUGCACCACUCAAGCUGCUGGCUCUAUUCAGAAGACAAACCUAAAAUCUGAGCUCCUGACCAAAUUAGAAAUUCAAGUGAUGUAAACUCAUUACUAACAUUCACCGAAACAUAGUAAUGAAUCAAACUGACUUGUGUUAGUAAUUGUUAAUUUCUUUUUCUUUUCUUUUUAAUUCCCUGAUUUACUCAUUGGCUGAGGAAUGUUUGGCCAGAAUCAUCCUAAGUGCAUCAGACAUUGCGCAAGUUUCUCUGCAGUUUUUUCUUUUUUCUUUUUCAAACAGAAAAUUAAAAACACUUGAGACUUGAAAUUUUGAGCAUAUGUUUUAAUAAUCUAGGAUUAUGUGUAAAGUGUAAGGGUGUUUACAGUCUUAAUUCUCUGUUAAACAAAUGAAACAUGAAAAAAAAUUAGGCGACGAAAAAUGCAGUAGGCUAAUUCAUGUUAAAUCUAUC